CAGUCUUCCAAAGGUUGUCUGGUGAAAUUAAAUAUUUUCUGUAUGACUUCACGGUAUAUGUGGUAUUGUGCCAACACCAUUAUUCUGUAUUUGAUACAUCAAGAUGAGGAUAGUUUCACUGCUUGUCACAUUGAUUUGGGCAACAGUUGUGACACCAGCAUCUUCAGAGUUGAAGCUGGUGCACAUGAAUGGGUCAGCUAUCCAAGUCUACAAGAAACCCCUGUGUUUUCAAGACACCUAUGACGUGCAGUGCGGCAAGGAUUGGUUUGCACCAAUUAGAAACACAUUUUCCCUUAAAGACCCUGCGUUUUCAUCAGCUAACAAUUGCACAGGCCAGAAUACAUACCCCAAAGUUUGUUGUGAUGUGAAUCCCACUGACUGCAAUUUUACCAGUAUUAAGGACUUUGACAAGAUAAGAGAUCUGUGUUCGGGGAAGACCUAUUGCACGGGUCAGAGAGCACCGUGGCACCCUGUGUAUGCCUAUAAACCCAAUAUGAACUGUCCAUAUCAACAAGGACUGACAACAGUGCUGACAACACAGUACGUGACGACAGAGUACAUGUGUGUACCAUAUCCUUCAAUUCAAAGAAUGUGUGAGAAAGGGACAAAAAAACGGUAAAGGACUGUUUCUUGCAUCAAAACAUUAUCCAGACUACUAUCCUGAAUCUACAGGCUUUAACUGCUCCUGCAAGCUUAUGUUUGCGGCCAAUAAAGUACUGCAAGUUGCAGUGAUUGAUCUACGACUUUGUUCUGGCAGUGGUGGAUGUGGGCGUUCUCUCAACAUAGGUGACACCAAGGUCAUUAGUGUCACUAACACAAAGGAGGAGGACCCUACCUUAUAUGACUCAGUCGUGGGAGGUAUUGUUGGACUGAAGGAAAUCUAUUCCGGCGCUUCAGCAACUGGUGACGUGACGUUGAAACUUACAGAUGUGGAUUCCAAAGAUGCUUUAUUUUUUGUGGUUGUAUCUGUAUGCAGAAGGUUCCGAUAUGACCUUAACUUGUAAUGGUGAGACGACUUUUACUACACCCACCACAGCUGCACCAACCACACCGACUAAACCAACUACUUCAACAACGCCUACGACAUCACCUGCUACCACGACAACGGUUGCUACAAAACGGCAAUCCCCAAAUCCUGGUAAAAUCAAUAUAUAGUACAGCAACUUAGUGUAAGGAGAGAUUCUCGUCACCAUUGUUCCUUUUUACUUAGACAGCAGGUUCAGAGUUGAUUCCCGUCACCAUUGUUCCUUUUUACGUAGAUAGCAGGUUUAGAGUUGAUUGUCGUCACCAUUGUUCCUUUAUCGUAGACAGCAGGUUCAGAGUUGAUUCCCGUCACCAUUGUUCCUUAUUACGUAGACAGCAGGUUCAGAGUUGAUUCCCGUCACCAUUGUUCCUUUAUCGUAGACAGCAGGUUCAGAGUUGAUUCCCGUCACCAUUGUUCCUUAUUACGUAGACAGCAGGUUCAGAGUUGAUUCCCGUCACCAUUGUUCCUUUUUACGUAGAUAGCAGGUUUAGAGUUGAUUCUCGUCACCAUUUUUCCUUUUUACGUAGACAGCAGGUUUAGAGUUGAUUCCCGUCACCAUUGUUCCUUUUAACGUAGACAGCAGGCUUAGAGUUGAUUCUCGUCACCAUUGUUCCUUUUUACGUAGACAGCAGGCUUAGAGUUGAUUCUCGUCACCAUCGUUCCAUUUUACGUAGACAGCAGGUUUAGAGUUGAUUCUCGUCACCAUCGUUCCUUUUUACGUAGACAGCAGGCUUAGAGUUGAUUCUCGUCACCAUCGUUCCUUUUUACGUAGACAGCAGGUUUAGAGUUGAUUCUCGUCACCAUUGUUCCUUAUUACUUAGACAGCAGGCUUAGAGUUGAUUCUCGUCACCAUUGUUCCUUAUUACUUAGACAGCAGGCUUAGAGUUGAUUCUCGUCACCAUUUUUCCUUUUUACGUAGACAGCAGGUUUAGAGUUGAUUCUCGUCACCAUUGUUCCUUUUUCGUAGACAGCAGGUUUAGAGUUGAUUCUCGUCACCAUUGUUCCUUUUUACGUAGACAGCAGGUUUAGAGUUGAUUCUCGUCACCAUUGUUCCUUAUUACGUAGACAGCAGGUUUAGUGUUGAUUCCCGUCACCAUUGUUCCUUUUAGCGUAGACAGCAGGUUUAGAGUUGAUUCUCGUCACCAUUGUUCCUUAUUACGUAGACAGCAGGUUUAGAGUUGAUUCCCGUCACCAUUGUGUUUGUAUCUCCUGCAUACAUAGAUAGCAGGUUAAGUGUUUAUUCCCGUCACCAUUGUGUUUGUAUCUCCUGCAUACAUAGAUAGCAGGUUUAGAGUUGAUUCCCGUCACCAUUGUGUUUGUAUCUCCUGCAUACAUAGAUAGCAGGUUUAGAGUUGAUUCCCGUCACCAUUGUGUUUGUAUCUCCUGCAUACAUAGAUAGCAGGUUAAAGGGGCACUAAUCUAACGCAAUCCCCCCGGACUGGUUGUUGCCUUUGUUAUUGUUUUUUUUUUCCCGCGGUACCCGGAUAUCCCAGAAAUCUCGAGUAGUUCGCGACCUGUGCUGCGCCACCCGUAAAGCAC
rnacentral:lncRNA from 1 species